UACGUAGGGGGCAAGCGUUGUCCGGAUUAUUGGGCGUAAAGAGCGUGUAGGCGGCUUUACAGGUCCGUUGUGAAAACUCGAGGCUCAACCUCGAGACGCCGGUGGAAACCGUAAAGCUAGAGUCCGGAAGAGGAGAGUGGAAUUCCUGGUGUAGCGGUGAAAUGUGCAGAUAUCAGGAAGAACACCCGUGGCGAAGGCGGCUCUCUGGGACGGUACUGACGCUGAGACGCG
rnacentral:rRNA from 1 species